rnacentral:rRNA from 1 species
UACCUUGUUACGACUUAACCCCAAUCAUCCCCCCACCUUAGGCCGACGAAUCGGACUUCGGGUGUUGGUGACUUUCAUGGUUUGACGGGCGGUGUGUACAAGACCCGGGAACGUAUUCACCGCAGUUUGCUGACCUGCGAUUACUAGCGAUUCCGACUUCAAAGAGGCGAGUUUCAGCCUCUUAUCCGAACUGAGAUUAGCUUUGAUGCGAUUUGCUCCACCUCGCGGCUUCGCUGCGCAUUGUACUAACCAUUGUAUCGUGUUUCUAGCCCAGGGUGUAAGGGAAAUACUGACCUGACAUCAUCCCCUCCUUCCUCCCCGUUACCGGGGCAGUCUGAUUAGAAAAAUACAACUAAUCACAAGGGUUGCGCUCGUUGAUGGACUUAACCAAACAUCUCACGACACGAGCUGAGAACGGCCACGCAUCACCUGUCACUUGGCUCAAUAAAGCACUCUCUGCUUUCCCAGAAAUUCCAAGGAUGUCAAACCCUGGUAAGGUUCUUCGUUUAUCAUCGAAUUAAGUUACACGAUCCACCGCUUGUGCGGGUUCCCGCAAUUCCUUUAUGUUUUAUUCUUGCGACCGUACUCCCCAGGCGGGAUACUUAACGCGUUAGCCUUCCUUACUGAAUGGGCCGAUCCUUCAACAGCUAGUAUCCUU